rnacentral:lncRNA from 1 species
AGUAGGGGCCUUCUAGAGUCCACCUGAGGAGAUGUUGGCUCUCCUCCCAGGGUGAAAGUAAAAUCAACCGCUUUAUUUCCCGUUAUGGGAAUAACUAAAGAGAGACGUGGUGGCCCUUGGGGGCCUGGCUUUUUCUUUCCUGAGGGAAAAGUGCCUCGGUAACAGAGAAGCUGUGAUGAGGGAAGGCUGUGGGUGCUCAACUGGGAGCCCUGAGGGAACCCCAUGGCUGGAGCCAGGCAGCGCCGGUGGCUUUGUGAGGCCUGCUAGUAUGUGCUAGUCUGUGGUCAAAUGCAAUAUAUUAUUAGAUUGUAAUGAUCUUGUGAGGGAGGAUGGAAUGUGACAGCACCUCUCUACAGGCCAGGGCUGUGAGCUGUGGUCCUUGUUAACUGCUACCAGUGGGAUAGGUAAGAGUAGCCUUGUGGGCUCUUAGUCCCAUUCCCAGGUGGGACUCUUGGCUAGGGGAAGGGAGUGCUAAAGCUACUGGUGGCCUCAUGUUUUUCUACCUUUCUUUUCAGCUCUGCUUAUUCACUGCUCAGCACAGCCUUACUGAAGAAUAUGACUGAGGGAUGUUGAUGUGGUUGAGGUGUGGGCUAAGCUAAGGCCCUACCCAGCAUUUUCUGUGGAUCCCUCUUUUGGUGGGCCCUGAAGAAAAGAGGCUAUAAGGAGCCCACUAUCACCUGUUUUUCUCCUGGAAAUUAUGGAGUGACCCAUCAGCUGGCACUGAUGAGCUGCAGGUGCUGGAGGCUAGCAGAGCAGGGAAGCCUGCCUGUAAUAGGAGCCUGUGAUUGGGGUGGAGAGGAGGUGUGAAGAUGGUGUGUUGUGCAUCAACUGGAGCAGCACAAACAGAUAGGCAAUAUAAAUAAUCCUGCCAGAUAACCUACUUGCUGCCAAUGCCCAAGUACAUCCAGUGCUGCGACUUCUUGGACAAAACAUAACUUUCUGCUGACUAAUGUCUCUGCUUUGCCCCAACCUGCUGAAUGCCCAGGCAGAGAAUUUGUGCAGGAGGAACAACAGCUGGUAUGGCUUUGACUGGGGAUGCACUGAAGUGCUUUUGUU